UGGGAAUCUUAGACAAUGGGGGAAACCCUGAUCUAGCCAUGCCGCGUGAGCGAUGAAGGCCUUAGGGUUGUAAAGCUCUUUCAGCUGGGGAAAGAUAAUGACGGUACCAGCAGAAGAAGCCCCGGCUAACUCCGUGCCAGCAGCCGCGGUAAUACGGAGGGGGCUAGCGUUGUUCGGAAUUACUGGGGCGUAAAGCGCACGUAGGCGGAUUAGUCAGUCAGAGGUGAAAAUCCCAGGGCUCAACCCUGGAACUGCCUUUGAUACUGCUAGUCUUGAGGUCGAGAGAGGUGAGUGGAAUUCCGAGUGUAGAGGUGAAAUUCGUAGAUAUUCGGAGGAACACCAGUGGCGAAAGGCGGCUCACUGGCUCGAUACUGACGCUGAGGUGCGAAAAGCGUGGGGGAGCAAACAGGAUUAGAUACCCUGGUAGUCCACGCCGUAAAACGAUGAAUGCCAGUCGUCGGGUUGCA
rnacentral:rRNA from 1 species